GUGCUCACUUUGGCAGCACAUAUAUUAAAACUGGAAUGAUACAGGGAAGAUUCACAUGGCCCCUGCCUAAGGAUGAUACACAAAUUCGUGAAGCAUUCCAUAUUUUA